ensembl:lncRNA
GAAACAAUUCAAGUAUAAUGGAAGCACAGUCAAGCUAACACAAUAUUUAGCAGCUUUUAUUUUAAGGGGUAGGAAGGUUUGGAAUAUACUAUUCCAGAGAGCUUUGGAGCUAUAAUUACAAUAACCCACCUAGCAAAACUGAAUAUAAUCUCUCAGGGUAAAAGGUGGACAUUCAAUGAAAUGAAAGAUGAUGAAAAGACCAGAGCUGAAUAGAAAAUGUGAUUUUUAAAUACAGGACUCAGGAGAAGCAUAAGGAAAUAAUGAAGAAAAGAAAAUCAUAAAGGACAUAAUUAGGUUUAUAUGUUUACAUUCCUACAUGGAAAAAUGUUAUGUGUAAUUCAUAAGAAAUUUCUCAUUAUUAUGACAGAUAAAAGCAGUGUAUGUGUAUGUGUGUAUAUAGAGAGAUUUAUACCUAUAUAUUUAUACCUAUAUGUAUAAAAAUAUUUAUAGCAGCUCUUUUUUCAGGGCAAAGAACUAGAAAUUUAGGGGAUGCCCAUCAACUGGGGAAUGGUUGAAUUAAAUUGUGGUGUGUGAUUAUGAUGGAAUAUCAUUGUUCUCUAAGAAAUGAGGAGCAAAAUACUCUCAGAAAAAUCUGGAAAGUCCUUCAUAAACUCAAGCAAAGAGAAAUGUGUUGAGUACAAUAUAAUAGUAAUGUUGUGAGCUAUGAAUGACUUUGCUAUUCUCAGCAAUGCAGUAAUCCAAGACAAUUCUGAAGGACUUAUGAUGAAAAAUGCUAUCCAUACCCAGAAAAGGAACUGAGUGGGAAAAUGAAAAUAUUUUUAAGAGAAAAUAAGGAAUGUGAGGAAAGCUAAGAAACAUGGAAAUAUCCAAAUGAACUAAUGGAGGAGUGAAACAAAUGGAAUAAAGAAAAUAAAACACACAAUAUAGGUGGAAAGCAUAACUUCAAAAUGAAUCAAAAAUGUAGCUGAAAAGAAGAAAUAUGUGAAGACACCAUCAACCCAUAUCUUUGCAGAGGUUAUACAUGUACAUUCACUUCUUACAUAUUUCCAUAUGAUUCAUGUUGGGAAAGAAAAAUCAGAACAAAAGGGGAAAACUACAAGGGAAAAAUAAAACAAAAAAGGGGAAGAAGAUGGACAUUCAAUGAAACUGGUGAAUUCCAUUUAUUUUUGAUGAAAAGACCAGAGCUAAACAAAAAAUGUGAUCUCCAAAUAUAGAACUCAAGAGAAGCAUAAAAAGACAUAAUGAAAGAAAUUCCUGGGACCAACUGGAUAGUGUGAAUAUUAUAUUCUCAAAAUUUCCCUUGUCAAUCAGUUCCUGUGGAUGACUGGAACUAAAAAGAGUAGGCUAGAGACAGGAGAAUCAGGAGUCAAACAAAAGUUUAGUGUAGGGAUGCUGGAUGUCCUAUGCCAUUCAUCUAAAUUCUAGAAAAAAACAGCAACAUCAUAGAGAAGUCCCUUUCCAAUGUCACCUCAGAUGCAAAUGUAUUCUGAUGUAAGUGGAUAUCAUCGACAAAGAGAAGAUCUAACUCGGUUCCAAUUGAUCAAGGAUGGACAGAAGCAGCUACACCCAGAGAAGGAAUACUGGGAAAUGAGUGUAAACUGUUUGCAUUUUUGUUUUUC